UCGGUAUGUACUGGCUUUACUGAUUCCUCCUUCUUGACGAACCGUGAUGUCAUUAAUUUGGUGUUGCGGGAAAUCAGGACUGUUACUUUGAAAAAAUUAGAGUGUUUAAAGCAGGCUAACGCUUGAAUACAUUAGCAUGGAAUAAUGAAAUAGGACGUUAAUCCUAUUUUGUUGGUUUCUAGGAUCGACGUAAUGAUUAAUAGGGAUAGUUGGGGGCAUUAGUAUUCAAUUGUCAGAGGUGAAAUUCUUGGAUUUAUUGAAGACUAACUACUGCGAAAGCAUUUGCCAAGGAUGUUUUCAUUAAUCAAGAACGAAAGUUAGGGGAUCGAAAACAAUCAAAUACCGUCGUAGUCUUAACCAUAAACUAUGCCAACAA
rnacentral:rRNA from 1 species